CUCAGUUUAAAUGAUUCAAAUUUCUAAAUGUCUAUAAACGCUAGCUUGAGAAACACAUCUGUGGAAAGCAACAAAAUGUGGGCUUUUGGUGCCAAAGUCCUGUGGCUUCGCUUCUGUUUUAGAGCGCGGUUAAAAACUGACGAGUGAAAAGUGACAUUUCUGUCAACCCUGGGAACGCCUGUAGCGCAGCUCAACAUGCACAGACUUGUACCUGUAAAGUAAGUCAGAGGAAGAAAGAGAAGCCCAACAAGGAGGACACUUAUCUCCACAACGGCAGAAAAAUACUUUUCGGCAACAGAAAACACAUGUUGGCUCCUGUUAAUGAUGUCAUGGCGUGGGGGGAGUCAUUUGACCGUCUUCUGGAGUGUAAAACUGGCCAGCUGGUGUUUGAGGACUUCUUGAGGACAGAGUACAGUGAUGAGAACCUUCUUUUCUGGCUGGCCUGCGAAAAGUACAAGAAACUAACCAAAGUGACAGAAACGACCAUUGCUGCCAAACGGAUAUACACUGAGUUUGUCCAAGCUGGUGCACCUAGACAGGUAUGGCUUUUGUGAAUUGAGGAGUAAACAAAGUCAGGCCUGUGUAUCUACGAAUCACCCUCUGUUACAGAUAAACAUUGACUGUGUGACCAGAGAAGAAAUCAGUAAAAAUAUCUCUCAGCCGGGGCCAAAUUGCUUCGACAGGGCGCAGAAACUGAUAUAUGGCCUGAUGGAAAACGACUGUUACCCACGAUUUCUGAAAUCAGAAAUCUACCAAGAUCUCCUGGAGCAGGCUGAACAGCAGUGAAAGCAAGAUGAAGAAGAAGAAGAAGAAGAGAAAAAAACACAGCUGACAUCUCUUUGAAUGAUUGAUUUUGCACCUCAGAAGACUCUUUAGAAAGUCAGUUAAACAAAAAGGCCUGCCUGUCAGGCGAAGCAAGAGUGAAAGGAGAUACAGAGCUGUUGAGACGGGGACUGACAGGAUCUAAAAGCCAAACAUGAUCUAAAUAAUGUAUUAAGCUGCUUUUGAAGUCAAUUUUUGUUUUGAAUUGCUUGAUGUUGCACAAAACGCCUGUAAUUCCCCCCAAAAAAGAUAUCACGCUUUCUAAGGUUGACAUUUGUUUGGAUGAACAUCAAGGGUAAAUUGUUUGUCAUUUGUAAACGCGCCCCCUUAAAUGAUUUAGAAAAUGUUUCGGAAAAGUUAAUUUUUCAUUACACUGUCUUUUGGUAUCCAAUCACACAAACUAAUAAGAUGUGAACAGUGCCUAAGCAAUACGAUAAGAUGUAACAUGUGGUGUCAUUUCUUUGGCCUGAUGAAAUUCUCUUUGUGCAUAUUUGAAAAGUGUUUUUAUGGCAGUAGGAAAUGUACAAAAAUGUUCUAUUGUUGCAGCGGUGAAUCACAGGGGUUUAGAUUUCGUUUAGUCUGGCUGUACAUAACCUGCCGCCUCUGGAAAGAGUUUGUUUUGCAGCUUGGAAACAGGCUGCUAAUCAUCUGAUUACUUUACAAUGUGAUACCGCCAGACCAUUGUACGCUCCCUGUCAAAAUAUUGACAGUAAAUAUCGUGUUAAAAAAGCACUGUAUUGUUGUUUUUGUUGGAUAAGUGCUGCAGCUGCUGUGGCUGAUUAGUGGUUAAAAAAUAGUUCUACGCACGAGCCUGUGUGUUUGCAAAUGAGUGUGUGUGGCCUUCACUGUGGCCAUUUUGUCAGUUGAUGUGUCAAAUACCCCUUCUGUGUGAGCAUGCACAGAGCCUGAAGCACAAAGCCUGGGUUAACAACAAAAAGUUGAUGAGCACCAUUGUGAUACCCGUUAUGUCUGACUGCAGUUUUUGGAUUUGACAAGCCAGCUAACAUAAAACUUGCUUUGUAAUAUCAAGUUUGGCGUUUAGGACCAACACAGUUCAGCUGGUAUGGUAAAACAGAGUGGUGAAAUAAAUAUAUUCACUGGCAAAUUUAUAAGAAUAAGAAUUUUGUGUAGCAUGUGGACAGAAGGAAAAUACCUUAAACUUGCGUUCUGUUUAACUGCCAGUAGGGGGCAAACUCUAGAAGUCUGUAAGAAAAUGAUUUGACCUCAAUAAAUACUUUACAGAUGAGUUUAUGGUUCCAUAUAUCAUAUUUAACAAAAAAAC